rnacentral:lncRNA from 1 species
UUUCUGGGGGUGGCUCGUAAUAGAAGUCCCGCCAUACAGGGAGGUGGAGGCCACAGGGUCUUCUAGGAGAGCUCUCGCAGGAGAGGAGUCAGGAAUGUGGCCUCUGGAACUUUCUCUUCCCACGAUGUACACAGCGGCACCUGAGAGAGCCCACCUGUCCUCCCAGGCAUUCUGCUGGGAGCUGUAUCUGCUUUCUCGUCUGACUUUCAUAAUGACCUGCGAUCCAGCUGCUACUAGCAGUUUUUUAUAGGUGAGGGAACCUGAGUAAAAAGAAAUGAAGUGAUCUGUCCAAGACCAGCACAACUGCCAGAGUCCCGGGGGGCCUCAGAAUCAGGCUCCCAGCUCAGGGGGUCAUCCUGGGCUCCAACCGUAUCAACACCUCCAUAUAUGCCUGAUCAUCUGGGAGGCAGUAAAAAGACCCCAGGCCAGGCUCUGCUGCAGAGCUAUUCAGCAGAAGCCUGGUGGGGAGAGGCCUGAGAACGUGUGUUUUUAAUAAGCAUCCAGGCGAUUCCUACCAUCAGUGUAGUCAGGGAAACAGUGACUCACCAGCAUGCCGUCCUUGAAGCUUGUUGUAAGGGCUACCGCCUCAGACCAUUCUAAGGGGUCAUGGGGAAGGUAAGGGCAAGGCUUGCGAUGCUUUAAAGAGCAAAGCUGAGUGGUUCACGGCAGACGCUGACAGUAACCUGAAGGUCCAGCAGUAAGAGAAUGGGGAAACACGUGAUGUCUACACAACAGACAUUACAAGCGGUUUGCAAAAUAGAGUCAUUGAUAUGGAAGCACAUUCACGACUGUUAAUGAAAAAAAUGUCUGGAAGCAAUGUUCACCGCAUGGCAUCAUUUGUGCAAAUUAUAAUAUUCAAUCUACUGUUCACAGGGAAAUGUCUGGAUGGCCAGUCAUGGAUGGCCGUCUAGAAUGUCUUUGGGCCCAGCAAGUAACAGAAACGAGGGAAGCUGUCCACUGUAACGGGGGACGUGGGGACUAUGAUCUAUAAAGAAUAUGCUCUGUCUGAAGGCAACAGAAUUUUACAAUUUGAAGGAGAAUGGUCUGAGCAAACAGAUAGGCAGGGCACCUGGUCCAUAAUUUAUACACUAAAUGUUAACAGUGGUUGCAGCUUGUGGUGAUAUUCGGAGAUUUUUCUUUAGUUGUACUGAAUUUUGAAAAAUUGUAAUUCUUUUCAACUGUGACAAGGCAUGUGUGAUUUAUGAAAAGAUAAGUCAGAAUAAAAGAAUAGGCCUGAGUGGCUGUGCCA